AUUGAACGCUGGCGGCAGGCCUAACACAUGCAAGUCGAGCGGAUGAAGGGAGCUUGCUCCUGGAUUCAGCGGCGGACGGGUGAGUAAUGCCUAGGAAUCUGCCUGGUAGUGGGGGAUAACGUCCGGAAACGGGCGCUAAUACCGCAUACGUCCUGAGGGAGAAAGUGGGGGAUCUUCGGACCUCACGCUAUCAGAUGAGCCUAGUUCGGAUUAGCUAGUUGGUUGGGUAAAGGCCUACCAAGGCGACGAUCCGUAACUGGUCUGAGAGGAUGAUCAGUCACACUGGAACUGAGACACGGUCCAGACUCCUACGGGAGGCAGCAGUAGGGAAUAUUGGACAAUGGGCGAAAGCCUGACCCAGCCACGCCGCGUGUGUGAAGAAGGUCUUCGGAUUGUAAAGCACUUUAAGUUGGGAGGAAGGGAAGUAUGUUAAUACCUUGCUGUUUUGACGGUACCAACAGAAAAAGCACCGGCUAACUUCGUG
rnacentral:rRNA from 1 species